GAUGAACGCUGGCGGCGUGCCUAAUACAUGCAAGUCGAGCGAACAGACGAGGAGCUUGCUCCUCUGACGUUAGCGGCGGACGGGUGAGUAACACGUGGAUAACCUACCUAUAAGACUGGGAUAACUUCGGGAAACCGGAGCUAAUACCGGAUAAUAUAUUGAACCGCAUGGUUCAAUAGUGAAAGACGGUUUUGCUGUCACUUAUAGAUGGAUCCGCGCCGCAUUAGCUAGUUGGUAAGGUAACGGCUUACCAAGGCGACGAUGCGUAGCCGACCUGAGAGGGUGAUCGGCCACACUGGAACUGAGACACGGUCCAGACUCCUACGGGAGGCAGCAGUAGGGAAUCUUCCGCAAUGGGCGAAAGCCUGACGGAGCAACGCCGCGUGAGUGAUGAAGGUCUUCGGAUCGUAAAACUCUGUUGUUAGGGAAGAACAAAUGUGUAAGUAACUAUGCACGUCUUGACGGUACCUAAUCAGAAAGCCACGGCUAACUACGUG
rnacentral:rRNA from 1 species